rnacentral:rRNA from 1 species
CCUACGGGAGGCAGCAGUAGGGAAUCUUCCACAAUGGGCGCAAGCCUGAUGGAGCAACGCCGCGUGUGUGAUGAAGGGUUUCGGCUCGUAAAACACUGUUAUAAGAGAAGAACGGCACUGAGAGUAACUGUUCAGUGUGUGACGGUAUCUUACCAGAAAGGAACGGCUAAAUACGUGCCAGCAGCCGCGGUAAU